UUGGCCCAGGAAGUCAUUUGUUUGGACAGUAGCAGUGGCAGUGAGGAUGAAAAAAGCAGUCGAGAUGAGGUGAUUGAACUGAGCUCUGGAGAGGAGGACACUCUGCACAUUGUGGACAGCAGUGAAUCUGUCAGUGAAGAUGAUGAGGAAGAAGAGAAGGGUGGCACCCAUGUCAAUGAUGUCUUAAACCAGCGUGACGCCCUUGGGCGGGUCCUUGUCAACCUAAACCACCCUCCAGAGGAGGAAAAUGUCUUCCUUGCCCCACAGUUGGCACGGGCUGUGAAACCUCAUCAGAUUGGCGGGAUCCGGUUCCUUUACGAUAACCUAGUGGAGUCUCUGGAGAGGUUUAAGACCAGCAGUGGCUUUGGCUGUAUUCUGGCCCACAGCAUGGGUCUGGGGAAAACUUUGCAAGUGAUCUCUUUCAUCGACGUCCUCUUCCGCCACACGCCAGCCAAAACAGUCCUUGCCAUUGUGCCGAAUUGGCUGGCAGAGUUCAACAUGUGGCUUCCACCUCCUGAAGCCCUCCCAGCUGACAACAAGCCUGAAGAAGUCCAGCCUCGGUUCUUUAAAGUUCACAUCUUGAAUGAUGAGCACAAGACGAUGGCAUCUCGUGCUAAAGUGAUGGCUGAUUGGGUGUCAGAGGGUGGCGUGCUGCUGAUGGGGUACGAGAUGUACAGACUCCUCACUCUGAAGAAAUCAUUUGCCACAGGUAGACCGAAGAAAACCAAGAAGCGUUCUCACCCAGUCAUCAUUGAUCUAGAUGAGGAAGAUCGGCAGCAGGAGUUUCGGAGAGAGUUUGAGAAGGCUUUAUGCCGCCCUGGCCCUGAUGUAGUAAUCUGUGAUGAGGGACACCGCAUCAAAAACUGCCAGGCCAGCACCUCACAGGCUCUGAAGAAUAUCCGCUCUCGCCGCCGGGUGGUGCUGACUGGGUACCCUCUGCAAAACAACCUCAUUGAGUACUGGUGCAUGGUGGACUUUGUGCGCCCAGACUUCCUUGGCACCCGGCAGGAGUUCAGCAACAUGUUUGAACGUCCUAUCCUGAAUGGGCAAUGUAUUGACAGCACACCUCAGGACGUCCGCCUCAUGCGGUACCGGAGCCAUGUCCUGCACAGUCUUCUGGAGGGCUUUGUGCAGAGGAGAGGCCACACUGUGCUGAAGAUUCAUCUCCCUGCCAAGGAAGAAAAUGUGAUCCUUGUGCGGCUCUCCAAGAUCCAGCGAGAUUUGUACACACAGUUCAUGGAUCGCUUCCGGGACUGUGGUAGCAGCGGUUGGCUGGGGCUGAACCCCCUUAAGGCAUUCUGUGUGUGUUGCAAGGUGCAUUGGGGCCUCAGGGAAGAUUGAGAUGGGGACUAAGGAUACACAUGGUCCCAAGGGAGUUACUCCUACUGAGAGUCUUCAAUAAAGGGAGAAUAAAGUGAGAGGGGGCCACCUCAGUUCACUGCACUGGAGGUUUGGGGGCUCCAAGGAGAGAGGUGAUGGUUUUGUACCACAUAACUCCUGGGGGUGCCAUUCACACAGUGUAAUAUAACUGAUGCCCCCUGCAGUGUGCAACUCAGCUGCACAACUUGUUAUUCCAAGGGGAUUAAUGGAAAAAUACUGUGGGGCAGCGUUUUUGACUGCUAGCAUAAUCAGAAUUCAAGAGAUAUAUAGCUUAGACAAGUUAUUAGGGGUACCUUCCAUUGGAUUCCAUACUUAAUCAGAUUGAGACCUCUCUCAUUCUUUUCUUGAGGGACCUGUUUCAUUGACUUCAUACCUCUACCCCUGGCUACUCUUCAGCAGACCUGUUAGGUAUUAUUCUUAAUUGACCACUGCUUUAAUAAGUCAGCAGAAGGUGUGUGUCUGGGGACAAGAGGGGUUUCCAAAUAUUUCUUUUAUAGCCACAGUCCUGGGUCAAGGCCAGGAAACUAAGGCAAGCGUGGUCUGUGAUGAUGCUUUGGUAUCACUGCAUCCUUCCUUCUUCCUUUCCUCUCUUCUCCUGGGAGUUCUCAACUCUUGCUAGGAAUACUCUGUGAAAUGAUAUGUGAUUGGUCUACUAUAAGUCAGAUACAUUUUGUCUAUAGUUUUAUACAGUAGCAGACUGUAGCCACACUGUGAAACUGGAACAUUCUUACUCUUAUUUGAAUAAGAAUGUCAAAAAGGCUUGUGACAGCUUUUUUGAUUAUGUAUCAAACAUACUUACUGGCAUGGCUCCUGGUAUGCAUGCUGCCAUUCAUGUGUCAUGGUGACCAGAACUGAUAAUCAAAACAAAUAUGCAGGCCCUUUGGCUGUGAAGGGCUCUGACUUUAAUUUUUGGUGUGACAGUGUUUAUUGUGGGAUGUGUGUGUGUGAGCAAGUAUGUGUUUCCAGACUCCCUGGGACACCCUUGGAAUGUUCUUUGUCCUGUGUCUCCUCUCCCUUUCCUUGAACCUCAGAUCUGGAAUCACCCUGAUGUGCUGUAUGAAGCCCUUCAGAAGGAGAGCUUGGCCAAUGAGCAGGACCUAGACGUGGAAGAACUUGGCUCUGCAGGGACCAGUGCCCGCUGUCCACCACAGGGAACAAAAGGCAAGGGAGAGGAUAGCACCUUGGCUUCCUCGAUGGGAGAGGCAACCAAUAGCAAGUUCCUACAGGGCGUUGGCUUCAACCCUUUCCAGGAGCGAGGCAACAACAUUGUCACAUAUGAAUGGGCCAAGGAUCUUCUGACUAAUUACCAGACUGGAGUCCUAGAAAACUCUCCCAAGAUGGUACUGCUUUUCCACCUGAUUGAGGAAAGUGUGAAGCUUGGGGACAAGAUCCUUGUGUUUAGCCAGAGUCUUUCCACCUUGGCUCUCAUCGAGGAAUUCCUUGGAAAACGAGAAGUACCCUGUCCACCUGGUGCCGAGGGGCAAGGAGCACAGAAGUGGGUUAGAAACAUCAGCUACUUCCGGCUAGAUGGUAGCACCCCUGCCUUUGAGAGGGAGCGGCUUAUUAAUCAGUUCAAUGAUCCCAGCAACCUCACCACCUGGCUGUUCCUUCUCUCUACAAGGGCCGGAUGCUUGGGUGUGAAUCUGAUUGGUGCCAACCGAGUGGUGGUGUUUGAUGCUUCCUGGAACCCUUGCCAUGAUGCCCAGGCAGUAUGUCGGGUAUACCGUUAUGGCCAGAAAAAGCCCUGUUACAUCUAUCGCCUUGUGGCUGAUUACACUCUAGAAAAGAAGAUCUAUGACCGUCAGAUUUCCAAGCAGGGCAUGUCAGAUCGGGUGGUGGAUGAUCUAAAUCCAAUGCUGAACUUCACACGGAAAGAGGUGGAAAACCUACUGCACUUUGUUGAGAAGGAGCCAGCUCCCCAAGUUUCCUUGAACGUAAAGGGGAUCAAGGAGUCAGUCCUGCAACUGGCCUGUCUGAAGUACCCUCACCUCAUCACCAAGGAGCCUUUCGAGCAUGAGUCAUUGCUCUUGAACCGAAAGGAUCACAAGCUAACCAAGGCUGAGAAAAAAGCAGCAAAGAAAAGCUAUGAAGAAGACAAACGCACAUCAGUCCCCUAUACCCGCCCAUCGUAUGCGCAGUAUUACCCUGCCAGCGAUCAGAGCCUGACCAGCAUCCCCGCCUUCAGCCAGAGAAACUGGCAGCCAACUUUGAAGGGUGAUGAAAAGCCUGUGGCCAGUGUUCGUCCUGUGCAGUCCACCCCCAUCCCCAUGAUGCCCCGGCAUGUCCCACUGGGAGGAAGUGUAAGCUCUGCCUCCAGCACAAAUCCAUCCAUGAACUUUCCGAUCAACUACUUGCAGCGUGCAGGAGUCCUUGUGCAGAAGGUGGUCACCACGACAGAUAUUGUUAUUCCUGGACUCAACAGCUCCACAGAUGUACAGGCAAGAAUUAAUGCUGGUGAGAGCAUCCACAUCAUCCGUGGGACAAAAGGGACGUACAUCCGUACCAGUGAUGGACGGAUCUUUGCUGUCCGGGCAACUGGCAAACCAAAGGUUCCUGAAGAUGGUCGGAUGGCUGCCUCAGGUUCCCAGGGACCUUCUUGCGAGUCCACAAGCAACGGCAGACACAGUGCCUCAUCACCCAAAGCCCCCGACCCUGAGGGGCUGGCCAGGCCCGUCUCUCCUGACAGCCCAGAGAUCAUCAGUGAGCUUCAGCAGUAUGCAGAUGUGGCUGCUGCCCGGGAAUCCCGUCAGAGCUCCCCAAGCACCAAUGCCGCCCUGCCUGGCCCCCCGGCCCAACUUAUGGACAGCAGUGCUGUUCCCGGGACAGCUCUCGGAACUGAGCCUCGACUAGGGGGUCAUUGCCUCAAUAGUUCCCUCUUGGUGACUGGCCAGCCCUGUGGUGACAGGCACCCAGUGCUGGACUUAAGGGGCCACAAGCGAAAGUUGGCCACACCACCUGCUGCCCAGGAGUCAUCCCGCCGGCGGUCCAGGAAGGGUCAUCUGCCAGCCCCCGUGCAGCCGUAUGAACACGGGUAUCCAGUCUCUGGCGGGUUUGCCAUGCCACCCGUCUCCUUAAACCAUAACCUCACCACCCCCUUCACCUCCCAGGCUGGGGAGAACUCCCUGUUUAUGGGCAGUACCCCCUCCUACUACCAGCUGUCCAAUUUGCUGGCAGAUGCCCGCCUGGUGUUUCCAGUGACUACUGACCCUCUGGUGCCAGCAGGCCCCGUCAGUUCCUCUUCCACGGCUACCUCAGUCACUGCCAGCAACCCCUCCUUCAUGCUCAACCCUUCUGUGCCAGGGAUACUACCCAGCUAUUCACUCCCAUUCUCACAGCCACUCCUGUCCGAGCCGAGGAUGUUUGCGCCUUUUCCUUCCCCUGUCUUGCCCAGCAACCUUUCGCGGGGCAUGUCUAUCUAUCCAGGCUACAUGUCCCCACAUGCAGGCUACCCAGCUGGUGGCCUCCUACGGUCCCAGGUGCCUCCAUUUGACUCUCAUGAGGUUGCCGAGGUUGGGUUCAGCUCCAAUGAUGAUGAGGAUAAAGACGAUGAUGUGAUAGAGGUCACUGGGAAAUAGCUAGGGAGCCCCUCCCCACCUCACUUGGGGCCCCCAGCAGGUUGCCCACCAAGCUGGAAGGCAGUGAUUUAGACCUUUUGAGAAUAGGACACUUGGCAGGAGGGAAAAGGAAGAGGACAAAGGAGGGUGGUUGGCCAAAGUGGCAGAGCUCUGUUGCUGUUUAACAAAAGAGGC
rnacentral:sRNA from 1 species